rnacentral:rRNA from 1 species
AACGAACGCUGGCGGCAGGCCUAACACAUGCAAGUCGAGCGAGGACUUCGGUUCUAGCGGCGGACGGGUGAGUAACGCGUGGGAAUGUGCCCUUCUCUACGGAAUAGCCCUGGGAAACUGGGAGUAAUACCGUAUACGCCCUAUCGGGGAAAGAUUUAUCGGAGAAGGAUCAGCCCGCGUUGGAUUAGGUAGUUGGUGGGGUAAUGGCCUACCAAGCCGACGAUCCAUAGCUGGUUUGAGAGGAUGAUCAGCCACACUGGGACUGAGACACGGCCCAGACUCCUACGGGAGGCAGCAGUGGGGAAUCUUAGACAAUGGGGGCAACCCUGAUCUAGCCAUGCCGCGUGAGUGAUGAAGGCCUUAGGGUUGUAAAGCUCUUUCAGCUGGGAAGAUAAUGACGGUACCAGCAGAAGAAGCCCCGGCUAACUCCGUG